ACACACCAGUCAAAAUUGAUGCCUGCUUCCCACUAACAAUGAAUUUUCCUACCUUUUCUUUAUAAUUUCAGUCACAAAACCAACAACGAAAGCUGUUUAUUUUACAUUUUUUCUGCUUAGUUACUUGUGAAGCUGCAUGCAUAUGUGAACCUGCUGCCUCAUUUAUACAAGUGGUUUGUUACGAUCUGCUAGCAAUAUAUUACAAAUCAUUGGAGCUGAAGUCUGCGCGAAUCCAACACGAAGCAGUAUUAAUAUCUUUUAAUUACAAACCGGCAGCAGCGACACUCCUCGGAUGUAACACAAACCACAUCGCCCCACAGUACAGACACAGAUGAGUGUAAUUCGAGUUAGCAAACCAUUGGAUGAAGCUAUAAAUAGCUCUCACGUUAAAAUGGAGAGGUUGUAAGCUUUUGCAAAAUUUUAAUGCUUCCAUCAUGGGAAGCUUUCGGACGCCUGCUGGCCCACUGCUGGCGCAACGCCGGUGGCUCUCUUGCCCUCUCUCCACACCCGGGGUCGAUGUAAAGAGGGGGAGCACGUAGUUGCAAAAAGAAAAUAAUACACAUACAACGAUAGCACUAAGCAGAGGCAUGAACAAACUUUAAAAUUGGCAAGCGAACGGAACGGAACCUUGAUCACAAUGAUUUCACCAUCGGCAAAUAGAUCCGCUACCGAUCCGUCCCCUGGACAGUACGUGCGUACCAUCCACCUCCCCCCAGCCCCUUCCAUUCCCUACUCCUCUAGCUGCUCCUCGAGAUGGCGAACCGAGGCCAAAGAUGGCGCACGGUGGCGGCUGCACGGAGUCCAAUAGCAAAGACUCGAAAAACGAAGAUUGGCAGAGAUCGACACAGAUCGUUCACCUCGCGCUAUAUAGAGCCCAUCGCCCAGGAAGGCCUCCGGUGGGGUGGAGGAGCACUGUUAGCAAGCGCUCGGAGCCCGCUCUCGCCGCAGCCCUCGAGUGUUGCUUAAGUAUAGUAAUUAGAUGUUGCUGAUUUUUUUCCCUCCUUCGUUACGAUGGCUGGUGGUGGAGCUGUUGCCGUUGCUUUUAGCUGUUUUACGCCUCGGAUUUGCUUUUGCCAAUUUUUCAAAACCCACUUCGCGUGCAACACCUAUACAAGCGCAACGCCAAUAGGCCGGGCACGCCAACACACUGCAUGUCAUGUCACGGUGUACGGGAGGCCGUUUAAUGGCUCGCUCACAUCUUUGUUAUCUGCGAGCUUGGUGGGCAGCUGGUGGCACUGGGAUUCUUGACCUUACCGGCCGACGAAACGGUUGGAUAAGUGGUGGAUCCAUUGGCGAGCGAAGAAAGCUUGCACGCGCAUGUAGUGCAAACACGGGGCGAGGCUUCGCUGCCUGUCGUAAGAUUUAUUUUUAGCUCCAGCCCCGCGUGGACUCAUUUUUAAAGCGCUUACCAUAUGAGGAAGCGUAGCUGCUGUACAGCCCGCAGCAAGCAAACCUUUUCUUUUCGUCCCAGUUAAAGGUGACACCUUAAGAAGCUUUGCAGCCGCAGUCUGCCUGCAGACUUUACCUUAUAAAGUUUGACAUCUGCAAAUAACUGCAGCCGACAGCGUUCGACAAAGCGUCACACAUCGCACCGCGCCAGGGCAGGAUUUCAAUCAAACAGUCCGGCCGCUGACGUCAUUUCUCACCUUGCCGUGAGCGGCACACGGUUCGCUUGCCAACGCCGAAACUCGAUUCAACAUUUUUGGCCAGUCUAUAUCGUGCGGAUCAGUGUCAUAUACGUCGCGUGCAAUUAUUUACUCGCCCCUGCGAAGGUGUUGGGCGCUUCGGCCGUCCUUCGAUCGACGAAAUCUUUGGUAGGGCAAUGGGCAUAACCCAGUUUGCUUCUCCCCAUGCCACCAAGCAGUGGGCACACCACACCGGGCAGCAAUUGGCGUCAGUUUGUCAGCGGUGAGGACACGCUGACAAAUAGGCUGAGAGAGCGAGCGAAAGAUGGAGGAGAAAAAAGGACGCGAUCUCGACGGAUACGGUGCCGGGACAGUGGCGUGUGGCGCCGUACAAUGUAUAGCGAGCUCUUCUGGCACAGUCGGCCAUGGUCAUCGGUUGGGUGUCCCAUUCGGUGGGUUCUCAGUCGGCUGUGUCCGGUGUGCUCGCAUUGGCAACUUCCAUUUACAGCGCCUGCAGCUCGUGUCGUGCGCUGCAGUCGUCACAGGGCGCGGGCAGAGGGCCGCGAGUGCAGUGUGAGAGCAAACACGGCAAACAGGCACCACUAAAAGACCACAUAUGGCAAUCGGCAUCGGGUGCGACUGCUUUGCUACUUGCGACUUCGGCCGUCUCGAAUUGAGUUCAAUAGGUCAGGCCGGUUGAAUGGCAUUGCGCAGUCGGGUUGCAAUGACACAGCAACUGUUGUUGCAUUGCUGGUGCUGCCGCUACCGCGUGAAGGUUUUUGUUUCGGGGUUUUGUUUUGGGGUAAGAAAGCUGGUAAAAGUAACGGCCGACACCCGGCACUCCCACAUUCCCCGGAUUAUCGUUUGCCAUUUCCGAACGGUGUCAAAUAGGUGCGAAAUCCGUCACUCCUUUCGUGGGCUGCUGUGGUCCGAAGGGCUCUGCGCUGGAGUAGAAUGUUCCCAUUUUUGUAUGAUGGUAUGCAAUAUUCUGAUAGCUUGUAGUUACAUUACCCAUAAAACACACUUUAUUUGCAUAACCUUGACGAUAUUGCUUGAAUUAUGAACAUGGCUUUCCUUCCAUGUGGAUGCUAAAUUACGAAUAAAGCAACUGAAACAGCAACAGGAA